AUAGCCAUAUUCUCGCGGCAUCAUCAUCUUAAAGGUGGAGAUGAAAGAAAAAUUAACAAAUAAUUUUUUAUUGUUCAUAAUAACGAGUCCAUUUAAAUGAGUCCAUAUGGAAACUUUUUUACUGAGUCAUAUCCAUUUUUUUGGAAUCAAUAUCUUGAAGGUGGAGAUGAAAGAAAAAUCAACAAAUAAUUUUUUAGUGUCCAUAAUAACGAGUCCAUUUAAAUGAGUCUAUAUGGAAACGUUUUUACUGAGCCAUAUCUACUUUUUUUGAAUCAAUAUCUUGAAAGUGGAGAUGAAAGAAAAUCAAUAAAUAAUUUUUCAAUGUCCAUAAUAAUGAGUGCAUUUAAAUGAGUCCAUACGGAAAAAUGUUUACUGAGCCAUAUCCAUUUUUUCGAAUCAAUAUCUUGAAGAUGGAGAUGAAAGAAAAAUCAACAAAUAAUUUUCAGUGUCUAUAAUAACGAGUCCAUACUAAAACUUUUUUACUGAGCCAUAUCCAUUUUUUGGGAAUCAGUAUCUUGAAGAAAGAGAUGAGAAAAAAAUCAAAAAAUAAUU
rnacentral:sRNA from 1 species